GGGUGAGGAAUACAUCGGAAUCUGCCUAUUUGUGGGGGAUAACGUAGGGAAACUUACGCUAAUACCGCAUACGACCUACGGGUGAAAGCGGAGGACCUUCGGGCUUCGCGCAGAUAGAUGAGCCGAUGUCGGAUUAGCUAGUUGGCGGGGUAAAGGCCCACCAAGGCGACGAUCCGUAGCUGGUCUGAGAGGAUGAUCAGCCACACUGGAACUGAGACACGGUCCAGACUCCUACGGGAGGCAGCAGUGGGGAAUAUUGGACAAUGGGCGCAAGCCUGAUCCAGCCAUGCCGCGUGGGUGAAGAAGGCCUUCGGGUUGUAAAGCCCUUUUGUUGGGAAAGAAAAGCAGUCGGUUAAUACCCGAUUGUUCUGACGGUACCCAAAGAAUAAGCACCGGCUAACUUCGUGCCAGCAGCCGCGGUAAUACGAAGGGUGCAAGCGUUACUCGGAAUUACUGGGCGUAAAGCGUGCGUAGGUGGUUUGUUAAGUCUGAUGUGAAAGCCCUGGGCUCAACCUGGGAAUUGCAUUGGAUACUGGCAGGCUAGAGUGCGGUAGAGGGUAGUGGAAUUCCCGGUGUAGCAGUGAAAUGCGUAGAGAUCGGGAGGAACAUCCGUGGCGAAGGCGACUACCUGGACCAGCACUGACACUGAGGCACGAAAGCGU
rnacentral:rRNA from 1 species